rnacentral:rRNA from 1 species
UGGGGAAUAUUGGACAAUGGGCGAAAGCCUGAUCCAGCCAUGCCGCGUGUGUGAAGAAGGUCUUCGGAUGGUAAAGCACUUUAAGUUGGGAGGAAGGGCAGUAAGCGAAUACCUUGCUGUUUUGACGUUACCGACAGAAUAAGCACCGGCUAACUCUGUGCCAGCAGCCGCGGUAAUACAGAGGGUGCAAGCGUUAAUCGGAAUUACUGGGCGUAAAGCGCGCGUAGGUGGUUCGUUAAGUUGAAUGUGAAAGCCCCGGGCUCAAGCUGGGAACUGCAUCCAAAACUGGCGAGCUAGAGUAGGGCAGAGGGUGGUGGAAUUUCCUGUGUAGCGGUGAAAUGCGUAGAUAUAGGAAGGAACACCAGUAGCGAAGGCGACCACCUGGGCUCAUACUGACACUGAGGUGCGAAAGCGUGGAGAGCAAACAGG